CACACUAGGGGGGAGCGACAAGGGGGGACAUAUUUACGUGGGACAGUCCACCCCUUACUGACUCACCGACCUAGACAGCUGAGUCUGACACUGUACAUAGUUCUCACCUUGUUUAACUCUGUUAUUCUAUAACAGGUCUACUGACGACCCUCUAUCUACGACCACCUUUUUUUUUCUCUCUCUCUCUCCCUCCUUCUUCUUCUCUUUUCUCCCGCCCCUGACACCUCGCCGCCCGCCCCUGCGCGGCGGCACCAGCUCUCAUGACCUCCCGGGGCCGAGAGGGGUUCGCCCCGGCGCCUCUGCGCAUCUGGUCCAACAACGUCCGGGGCCUGAACCUGCCAGAACGGAGAUCACAUUUACUACGGGCACUUUGGUCCAAUAGAAUCUCUGUGGCCUUCAUCCAGGAGACACACUUCCGCGGACAGACGACCGGCCCUCCGAGACCGACGGUUCCCCACUGGAUAUUUUGCUAACCAUAGGGAAGCCAAGAAGGCAGGAGUGGCCAUUCUCUUCGCCGCGCAUGUCCCCUUCGUGUGUGCGGAGGUCAAGGCCGACCCACUGGGACGCUACAUCUUCCUCAAGGGCUCCAUUGCAGACAGGCGCUACACCUUUGCCUCCAUAUAUGCGCCCAACACCCGACAACACAGUUUUCUCACCAGAACCCUAAAAUCGCUGGAACACUUCAGGGAGGGGCUCCUAAUUCUAACCGGGGACCUCAACAUACCAUUGGAUCCGCGGACGGACACCUCCCGGGGACGCUGCUCGCUGCCGGACGCAAGCAUCAAAGCGGCACAAUUGGCACUCAGAACGGCGGGCCUUGCGGAUUGCUGGAGAGUCAUGCACCCAGAGGCCAAGGAUUUUACAUACUUCUCCCCGGUGCACCGCGGCUACAGCCGCUUAGACUAUGUCUUUAUUGCACAAGAAUACC